UACGGAGGAUGCAAGCGUUAUCCGGAUUUACUGGGCGUAAAGCGUCCGCAGGUGGCUAUUCAAGUCUGCUGUCAAAGCUCGGAGCUUAACUCCGAAUCGGCGGUGGAAACUGAACAGCUAGAGUGCAGUAGGGGUAGAGGGAAUUCCCAGUGUAGCGGUGAAAUGCGUAGAGAUUGGGAAGAACACCGGUGGCGAAAGCGCUCUACUGGACUGCAACUGACACUCAGGGACGAAAGCUAGGGGAGCGAAUGGG
rnacentral:rRNA from 1 species